CCUCAUGCUGACUGUCCCUGAGUGUUUCCAUUUUGUCUUUGCCGAUGGCAGGUGCCUGCUGUCUUCUUCUGAUCACCAGCCAGGUUCAGGGGGAGGGGAAUCCAUAUCCAUCCGGUUCAUUCCUUUCCCUGAACACACUCCUGCAUCUCAGGAAUCAGAUAACAGCAGGUGCUGUGACAUUAUGGCAAACAUUCUUGUCCUGGAGGAGUGGAUGUGUCACCUACUGAAUCUGCGUCUCGAACAUUUCAUCAAUCACCCAUUGAUUGUGCCUCCUCUGGAUCCCAGGCUCAGCUUUCGGCUAUAUAUUGGAGCUCUGCUGACCACACCUAGCUCCGGUGUUCGUGAACUGAGCAGCAUCUCUCACCAUCUCACAAUGCCUCAGACCCACUGAGUCGGCUGAACCAUUAGCUGCACAGGGCCUGCACUGGGGAGCCUGAAGGAAGUCAGAAGGAUUAAGACAUGGUUGGAUUACACAUGAAGAGUCUGACUGGAAAAGAAAUUCCAUUAUCACCACUUGGGAAGCUGAGUUUCUUUCUUCACAUCAAAGGAGCAGAAGAGGGAGAAAGGAGAAGUUUUCAGAACGGAUCUCCUUUCAUUUCCACUUCAGUUAACUGUGAUUGUGUGUUCAGUACAUUCUAUACUCUCAGACCCUGAAAGAGCUUGAAGCUGACUUUCCCACACUGGGAACUUAACUGGAGCAGACCUGACAAGAAAAGACAGGAGCCUCAAUGGACACAGCUUGUACAGAGAGG
rnacentral:lncRNA from 1 species